rnacentral:misc_RNA from 1 species
GAUGAAGAACGUAGCGAAUUGCGAUAAGUAAUGUGAAUUGCAGAAUUCAGUGAAUCAUCGAAUCUUUGAACGCACCUUGCACCCUUUGGUAUUCCGAAGGGUAUGCUCGUUUGAGUGUCAUUGUACUCUCACACUUCUAAUUCCUUUCGGGAUUGGGAGCGGUGGACUUGGGUGUUGCUGCUUUAGUUGUGGCUCACCUCAAAUAAGUUAGUGCAACUCUUGGUUGGACAUAGUACGGCGUGAUAAGUGUCUUCGCCGGCGCCUCUGUAAGGAGGGUGGCCGAUCGGGAGCUCUGUGCUUCAAACCGUCUUCGGACAAUCUUUGACAACUUGACCUCAAAUCGAGUAGGACUACCCGCUGAACUUAAGCAUAUCAAUAAGCGGAGGA